rnacentral:rRNA from 1 species
AGCGGAGGGAUCAUUACUGAGUUUACGCUCUACAACCCUUUGUGAACAUACCUAUAACUGUUGCUUCGGCGGGUAGGGUCUCCGUGACCCUCCCGGCCUCCCGCCCCCGGGCGGGUCGGCGCCCGCCGGAGGAUAACCAAACUCUGAUUUAACGACGUUUCUUCUGAGUGGUACAAGCAAAUAAUCAAAACUUUUAACAACGGAUCUCUUGGUUCUGGCAUCGAUGAAGAACGCAGCGAAAUGCGAUAAGUAAUGUGAAUUGCAGAAUUCAGUGAAUCAUCGAAUCUUUGAACGCACAUUGCGCCCGCCAGCAUUCUGGCGGGCAUGCCUGUUCGAGCGUCAUUUCAACCCUCAAGCUCUGCUUGGUGUUGGGGCCCUACAGCUGAUGUAGGCCCUCAAAGGUAGUGGCGGACCCUCCCGGAGCCUCCUUUGCGUAGUAACUUUACGUCUCGCACUGGGAUCCGGAGGGACUCUUGCCGUAAAACCCCCAAUUUUCCAAAGGUUGACCUCGGAUCAG